rnacentral:rRNA from 1 species
UGGGGAAUAUUGGACAAUGGAGGCAACUCUGAUCCAGCAAUUCUGUGUGUGUGAAGAAGGUUUUAGGACUGUAAAACACUUUUAGUAGGGAAGAAAGAAAUGACGGUACCUACAGAAGAAGCGACGGCUAAAUACGUGCCAGCAGCCGCGGUAAUACGUAUGUCGCGAGCGUUAUCCGGAAUUAUUGGGCUUAAAGGGCAUCUAGGCGGUUAAACAAGUUGAAGGUGAAAACCUGUGGCUCAACCAUAGGCUUGCCUACAAAACUGUAUAACUAGAGUACUGGGAAGGUGGGUGGAACUACACGAGUAGAGAUGAAAUUCGUAGAUAUGUGUAGGAAUGCCGAUGAUGAGGAUAACUCACUGGACAGCAACUGACGCUGAAGUGCGAAAGCUAGGGGAGCAAACAGG